AACAGCUCAAAUUUGAAAUCUGGCGUCCAACGGGCGUCCGACUUGUAAUUUGUAGAAGGUGCCUCGGGCGAAGCACCGGUCUAAGUCCCUUGGAACAGGGCGUCGUAGAGGGUGAGAAUCCCGUACGCGACCGGCCGCCUAGCCCGUGCGAGGCCCUUUCGACGAGUCGAGUUGUUUGGGAAUGCAGCUCAAAACGGGUGGUAAAUUUCAUCUAAAGCUAAAUACCGGCCAGAGACCGAUAGCGCACAAGUAGAGUGAUCGAAAGAUGAAAAGCACUUUGGAAAGAGAGUUAAAAAGCAUGUGAAAUUGUUGAAAGGGAAGCGCUUGCGACCAGACUCGUCCGCGGGUGAUCAACCUCCCCACGGGGUGGUGCACUCUCCCGCGGCCGGGCCAGCAUCGGUUCCGGCGGCCGGACAAAGACCCGAGGAAAGUAGCUCCCCACGGGGAGUGUUAUAGCCUCGGGUGCAAUGCGGCCUGCCGGGACCGAGGACCGCGCUUCGGCAAGGAUGCUGGCGUAAUGGUCGCAAGCGACCCGUCUUGAAACACGGACCAAGGAGUCGACCAACCGUGCGAGUGUUUGGGUGGAAAACCCGCAACGCGCAAUGAAAGUGAACGGAGGUGAGACCCCCCUCGGGGGCGCAUCUCGACCGAUCCUGAUGUAUUCGGAUGGAUUUGAGUAAGAGCAUCGCUGGUCGGACCCGAAAGAUGGUGAACUAUGCGCGGAUAGGGUGAAGCCAGAGGAAACUCUGGUGGAGGCUCGCAGCGGUUCUGACGUGCAAAUCGAUCGUCAAAUCUACGCAUAGGGGCGAAAGACUAAUCGAACCAUCUAGUAGCUGGUUCCUGUCGAAGUAUCCCUCAGGAUAGCAGUGACGUUUUCAGUUUUAUGAGGUAAAGCGAAUGAUUAGAGGCCUUGGGGUUGAAACAACCUUAACCUAUUCUCAAACUUUGAAUAUGUAAGAAGUCCUUGUUACUUAGUUGAACGUGGACAUUCGAAUGUAUCGUCACUAGUGGGCCAUUUUUGGUAAGCAGAACUGGCGAUGCGGGAUGAACCGAAAGCGAGGAUACGGUGCCGGAAUGCACGCUCAUCAGACACCACAAAACGUGUAAGCAAAUUAAAACAGUUGGAACGUGGCCACGGAAGUUGGAAUCGUNUAAGGAGUGUGUAACAACUCACCNACCGAAUUNGCUUGCCGUGAAAAUGGAUGGCGCUCAAGCGUGCUACNUAUCCCUCUCCGCCA
rnacentral:rRNA from 1 species